GCCGUAGCUCAGUGGUAGAGCAACCGCCUUGGAUAUAGAAGGGCUCAGGUUCAAUCCCGGGUAUCUGCA